rnacentral:rRNA from 1 species
AAACUCUACAAUGCAGGCAACUGCGAUAGGGGAACAUCGAGUGUCGUCCAUAUUGGAUGGCUGUCCACCCGCCUAAAAAGCGGGUGUUAGCAAGGGCCGGGCAAGACCGGUGCCAGCCGCCGCGGUAAUACCGGCGGCUCGAGUGGUGGCCGAUAUUAUUGAGUCUAAAGGGUCCGUAGCCGGCUUUGCAAGUCUCUCGGGAAAUCCAGCGGCUUAACCGUUGGGCGUCUGGGGGCUACUACAUUGCUUGGGACUGGGAGAGGCGAGAGGUACUCAGGGGGUAGGAGUGAAAUCCUGUAAUCCUUUGGGGACCACCGGUGGCGAAGGCGUCUCGCCAGAACAGGUCCGACGGUGAGGGACGAAAGCUAGGGGCACGAACCGG